AGAGUUUGAUCCUGGCUCAGGGUUAACGCUGGCGGUAUGUAUAAUACAUGCAAGUCGAGCGCCCCUUUAUUGGGGAGCGGCGAACGGGUGAGUAACACGUUGGAACCUACCUCGAACUCAGGGAUAACAUCUAGAAAUAGGUGCUAAUACCGGAUAGUCCCGCGGCCUUUUGGGUCGUGGGUAAAGCUUUUGCGGUUCGAGAGGGUCCUGCGGCCUAUCAGCUUGUUGGUAAGGUAACGGCUUACCAAGGCUUUGACGGGUAGCUGGUCUGAGAGGACGAUCAGCCACAAUGGGACUGAGACACGGCCCAUACUCCUACGGGAGGCAGCAGUAAAGAGUCUUCCACAAUGGACGAAAGUCUGAUGGAGCAAUACCGCGUGGGUGAUGAAGGUCGAAAGAUUGUAAAGCCCUUUUCUGAGGGAAGAAUUCUGACGGUACCUCAGGAAUAAGCACCGGCUAACUCCGUGCCAGCAGCCGCGGUAAUACGGAGGGUGCAAGCGUUACCCGGAAUCAUUGGGCGUAAAGCGUCCGCAGGCGGCAAUUUAAGUCGAAUAUUAAAUCUCGGGGCCCAACCUCGAGGCUGUAUUCGAAACUAUCUUGCUAGAGUUUUCCAGAGGCAUGCGGAAUUCUGUGUGUAGGGGUAAAAUCCGUAGAUACACAGAGGAACACCAAAAGCGAAGGCAGCAUGCUGGGGAAAUACUGACGCUCAUGGACGAAAGCGUGGGUAGCGAACGGGAUUAGAUACCCCGGUAGUCCACGCCGUAAACGAUGGAUACUAGUUGUUGGUCCGCUCGAACGGAUCAGUGACGACGCUAACGCAUUAAGUAUCCCGCCUGUGGAGUACGGUCGCAAGACUAAAACAUAAAGGAAUAGACGGGGACCCACACAAGCGGUGGAGCACCUGGCUUAAUUCGAUAAUGAGCGAGGAACCUUACCUAGGUUUGACAUCUCGGGAAUUCUUUAGAAAUAAAGAAGUGCCUUAUGGAACCCGAUGACAGGUGCUGCAUGGUUGUCGUCAGCUCGUGCCUUGAGGUGUUCGGUUAAGUCCGUAAACGAGCGCAACCCAUGUCCUGUGUUGCAUUUUUCACAGGAGACUGCCUCGCCAAACGAGGAGGAAGGUAUGGAUGACGUCAAAUCAGCAUGGCCCUUAUACCUAGGGCUGCACAGGUGCUACAAUGGCUAGUACAAUGGGUAGCAAUGUCGCAAGGCGGAGCCAAUCCCAAAAGCUAGUCUAAGUUCGAAUUGAGUGCUGCAACUCGCACUCAUGAAGUUGGAAUCGCUAGUAACCGCGGAUCAGCAAUGGCGCGGUGAAUGUGUUCCUGGGUCUUGUACUCACCGCCCGUCAAGUCAUGAAAGGUGGGGGCGCCCGAAGUACCCUUAGCUUCUAGCGGGGUCCUAAGGUGAAACCACUGAUUGGGACUAAGUCGUAACAAGGUA
rnacentral:rRNA from 1 species